rnacentral:rRNA from 1 species
CGGGUGGUAAUGCCGGAUGCUCCAUCACACCGCAUGGUGUGUUGGGAAAGCCUUUGCGGCAUGGGAUGGGGUCGCGUCCUAUCAGCUUGAUGGCGGGGUAACGGCCCACCAUGGCUUCGACGGGUAGCCGGCCUGAGAGGGCGACCGGCCACAUUGGGACUGAGAUACGGCCCAGACUCCUACGGGAGGCAGCAGUGGGGAAUAUUGCACAAUGGGCGCAAGCCUGAUGCAGCGACGCCGCGUGAGGGAUGGAGGCCUUCGGGUUGUAAACCUCUUUUGUUAGGGAGCAAGGCAUUUUGUGUUGAGUGUACCUUUCGAAUAAGCACCGGCUAACUACGUGCCAGCAGCCGCGGUAAUACGUAGGGUGCAAGCGUUAUCCGGAAUUAUUGGGCGUAAAGGGCUCGUAGGCGGUUCGUCGCGUCCGGUGUGAAAGUCCAUCGCUUAACGGUGGAUUCGCGCCGGGUACGGGCGGGCUUGAGUGCGGUAGGGGAGACUGGAAUUCCCGGUGUAACGGUGGAAUGUGUAGAUAUC